rnacentral:tRNA from 1 species
UGGGGACUCGUCCAAUGGUAGGACUGCAGACUCUGGAUCUGCCUAUAGAGGUUCGAAUCCUUUGUCCUCAG